GUGCCAGCAGCCGCGGUAAUACAGAGGUCUCGAGCGUUAGGCGGAAUCACUGGGCUUAAAGCGUGUGUAGGCGGAUCGGUAAGUACCUUGUGAAAUCCCACAGCUUAACUGUGGAACUGCUUGGUAUACUGCCAGUCUUGAGCCAGCUAGGGGCUACCGGAACAAAUGGUGGAGCGGUGAAAUGCGUAGAUAUCAUUUGGAACGCCAAUGGUGAAAACAGGUAGCUGGGGCUGUGCUGACGCUGAGACACGAAAGCCAGGGGAGCGAACGGGAUUAGAUACCCUCGUAGUCC
rnacentral:rRNA from 1 species